UACUUUUUUUUUUUUUUUUUUUUUUUUUUUUUUUUUUUUUUUUUUUUUUUUUAUCGCAACCAGCACA
rnacentral:ribozyme from 1 species